UCCCUGGUGGUCCAGUGGUUAGGACUCCCGCACUUUCAGUGCCGAGGUCCCAGGUUCAAUCCCUGGUCAGGGAA